CAUUAGAUGACUGAAAGUAAGUAAUGGUCUCUUAAACCAUUUUAUAGUAACAUAACAUUUACUUCUAAUGA
rnacentral:tRNA from 1 species